CCAACUAUAACAGCUACCUAGGGCUGGGGGUAGACGAUUAUUUAUUAAACGAUUAAUCUAACGAUUAUUUUGUCGAUUCGUCGACUAAUCGAACAACUAAUUGGCCGAUUUUUUUUGUGUGUGUGGCGUGCUGCUGCAAGCGUCGUUGACAUCAUUGAUGCGUCGCUACAGGCCUACAGCUAUGUGUCUGGAACUGUUGGCAUCUACACGGACCAAAAUUAUGAACGCAACACUUUCGUUUUUGCCCCCAUUUUUCAUGAACUGAGCUCAAAGAUCUAAGACUUUUUCUACGUACACAAAAAACGUAGGCGAAAACCAGUCAGUAUCUGUUGUGAACCAUUUGCCUCAUGCAGUGUAACACAUCUCCUUCGCAUAGAGUUGAUCUAGUUGUUGAUUGUAGCCUGUUGAAUGUUGGUCCACUCCUCUUCAAUGGCAGUGUGAAGUUGCUGGAUAUUGGCAGGAACUGGAACGCGCUGUCGUAUACGCCGAUACAGAGCAUCCCAAACAUGCUCGAUGAGUGACAUGUCCGUUGAGUAUGCUGUAGGAGCAAAAACUGGGAUGUUUUCAGCUUCCAGGAAUUGUGUACAGAUCCUUGCAACAUGGGCCCGUGCAUUAUCAUCCUGCAUCAUGAGGGAUGGUCGUGGAUGAGUGGCACAUCAAUGGGCUCCAGGAUCUCGUCACUGUAUCUCUUUGCCAUCAAUUAAAUACACACGUGUUCGCUGUCCAUAACAUACGCCUGCCCAUUACAUAAUGCCACUGCCACCAUGGGCAACUCGAUCUACAACGUUGACAUCAGCAAACCUCUCACCCAUUAUUGUUGCGAAACAUACUGAUGUCAUGGGUUAUAGAAGGAUUUCUAAACCUCUGAAUGUUCCAGUGAGCACUGUUGGGGCCAUAAUUUAGAAGUGGAAAGAACAUAAUUUCACCAUCAACCAACCACGACCAGGUGCUCCUCACAAGAUUUCUGAGUAAGAAGAAGAAUCAGAAGAGUGGUCCAAGAGCCAAGGACAACUUGUGGAGAACUUCAGAAAGACUUAGGGAAUAAGGAACCAAUUGUUUUCAACCGCAUUGGCCUGUACUCAGGCUCGCCACGCAAGCCUCCAUUGGUGAAGAAAAACAUGUUAAAGCUUGUUUAAAGUUUGCUGCACAACAUUUAGACAAGCCUGUGAAAUACUGGUAGAAUAUAUGCUGGUCACAUGAGACCAAAAUUUAACUCUUUGGAUAACAUAAUACACACCAGGUUUUGAGGUCAAAUGGCACUGGACUUCAUCCCCAAAACACCAAACCAACUGUGAAGUCAUUGAUAAAAGUCUGCUGGUAUAUACCAGAAUGAUGAAGAUGAAAUGAGGGUGGACAUUUCAGCAAGACAAUGAUCCCAAUCACACAGCAAAGGAAACACUCAAUUGGUUUCAGAGAAAGAAAAUGAACCUGCAAGAAUGGCCCAGCCAAUCACCUAACUUGAAUCAAGUAGAAAAUCUAUGGAAAUAACUUAUUUGAUUUGUUUGUUUUGACAUCUGGAGAAAAUUUCAUGUCAACAGCACCUUGCAAUAAAUGGUGACGUGUUCAAUAUUUAUUGUAUACGCUGUAUCAACAAGGAGUUAAUUCAGUUAUGUGCACAGUUAUGUAUGGUAUAAACUUUCUUGUUUAACAGGUUUGUAGGAGACAAGAUAAAAUCUAUCCAACACCCUUUGUGUUGUCCAGUGUCACCGUUCAACAGUCCAUCACAAGGAAGGAGAGCAAAUACUGUACUGGAAUCUGUCUUUAUUUGAGCCAUAAGUUCACCUGCAUCUUGAAAAACUGUCAGUUGCUUCGACAAUUGAAAUCAUCAUUGAACCAUGACGCAAAAGUUGACAAAUGGAGAAGAAUUGUUAAUGCAGUUAAAGGGCAAGCUGUCCUCAACUGGAGUUUUCGGAUCUUUUCCUCUGAGCUGUUUGUUAAUCGGACUGGAGGCUUUGAUGGAUGUGGAGUUUUAUUGUCCGUGCAGAAUCGGGUGGAAUCGUGAUCUUUCUAAUCUGAUCAUAACCGCUCCUGCUUGCUUUGCCUUUGUUUUAAUGUUCUUAUGGUUGAGACCCUGUGGUUGUAAAGUCCAGUCUUGGAAAUGUGAUAGUUCGGGUCUAUGUGAUGAAACUACCCAAAAUAGUGUUAAAAGAUUCCUGCACUGUCUGAUUCCACCUGUGGUGUGGUUCUUUCUUGUGCUAUAUGAUGGAAGCUAUUACACUUGUAGUCAAACAGACUGGGAUGGAGUGUAUGUUCAUGAUGAGGUGCUGGGAAAGAAAUGGUGUAAACCCACUGAUGGGAACGCAAGUAGAGAAAUCCAACUACGAAAUAAAACUCAAACUUUUGUUAAUUGGUCACAGUUUGCAAGUUAUAUUCUGGUCAUGGUCUUCUGCGCUGUGGCAUUUGUUCUUGUGUGCGUAUAUGACUGCCGGAUAAAUUGUACAUGCUGUGGAAAUGAACAACAGGACAGUGAAGAGACAGUGAGGAGAGGGAGAUGAAUCCAAUGAGAAAUGAUGUACAACCUCAAAUCACUCAUGCUAGAUGUUCAGUGAACGACAUUUCACUUUUUCUGAGUGCAAAUGCUCAAAACGAUGGCCCUUAAAGUAUCUUUUAACUGUAGAUCUUUAUAUCAGCCUGUACUGCACUGGUGAUGGCAAUGUAUUCACUUUUUUAAUUAUGUGGUAAGAUGGAAUAUGAUCCACCUGUGCGGUAAUUUUAGCAACUAUAUAGUAAUUGCUUUCACAUAUAUCCAUGUCUCUUUUUGUGGAAAGAGAUUUAUUUUCAAUGUUUGCCAUUUGGUAAGGUGGGAUGAAAAAACAGAAUUUUUGGAAAAAAAACAGACAACUAGACAGAACACAUUUGACUGCAUUGUCUAAUACAAAAUUAUUAAAAAGACGAUGUCUAAUAUGCAUGCAAAUAUAUAAUCUGAGGAUAAAAUAAUCACAAACAUAUUCCAGAAGCUUGUGUCAAAUUGCUGCUGUCAGUCUUGACAGGGUGAGUUAAUUUAAUAAAUGUCAUUUUGUUUUUUAAAUUUUUUGACUGUAGUCCAACUGUGGACUGUGGUCCAACUCUAGUCCAAUAUCAUCUUCCUUGUUUGACAGGUUUGUUGGUGGCUUACUAACCACACACAAACAAAUUAUAUUUUAAUUUUAUAUGAAC